AUGUGUUUAUUUCAAUGCGGUCACUGUCACACCUUAAGGUGUCAAAAUUAAAUUACACCAAGGUGUGUUAGUGAUGACAUUGCAAUAGAACUA
rnacentral:pre_miRNA from 1 species